CGUAGGUGGCGAGCGUUGUCCGGAAUUACUGAGUGUAAAGGGCGUGUAGGCGGGAAUGCAAGUCAGAUGUGAAAUGCCGAGGCUUAACCUCGGAGCUGCAUCUGAAACUGUGUUUCUUGAGUGUCGGAGAGGAAAGUGGAAUUCCCAGUGUAGCGGUGAAAUGCGUAGAUAUUGGGAGGAACACCAGUGGCGAAGGCGACUUUCUGGACGAUAACUGACGCUGAGGCGCGAAAGCGUGGGGAGCAAACAGGAUUAGAUACCCUGGUAGUCCACGCCGUAAACGAUGGAUACUAGGUGUAGGAGGUAUCGACCCCUUCUGUGCCGCAGUUAACACAAUAAGUAUCCCACCUGGGGAGUACGGCCGCAAGGUUG
rnacentral:rRNA from 1 species